UUAGUUUAAAUCAUUGUAGAUCUAGACUUUGAAAAUUGAACCCACAUAAAAUGGUGGAACAUACAUGGGUUUUAUCCAA
rnacentral:pre_miRNA from 1 species